AAAUGAAAUAAAAGAAAAAGGAAAAAAUAGAAAAGAAAACAUAAAAAGAAAGAAAAAGGCUCACCAAUACCUACCUGGGCCGUUUUUCUCCGCCCUUCGGCCCACCAACCUCACCGUGCGUAGCCCACUUCCGAUUGCAAGCCAUAUGGAGCUGGCAGUCCUACCCCCCCACACCUGUCAGACUCUCUGGGCCAUAGCUCGCGCGUCCACACCCUAUAACCUGUGGGCCCACGAGGUUAGAUGCUCCUUCCCCUUUCCUGCGUAACAGGCCUCGCAGCUCGCGCGCGCUGCUAACGCCGUGGAUGUCGCGUGGGAAUUCGGAGAGCAGUUCCAACCUCCUGACCGAGAUCUCCUCGCAUCGAUCUAUAAGGUGAACGCCGCACCCGAUGACCCUCACCAUAAACCGAAUCUUAAGCUUGGCGCUGGGGAUAGGGGGUGCGCCGUCGGCCGAUUCCAUUAGGAUGAUGGUGGCCGCUAGCCCAUUCCACCUUCGGACUUGGCCGGGGAGCUCCAUCCCAAUGCGCGGUGCACGGUGGUUUCGAGCUCGAGCGCCGUAGAUGGAAGCGACGACUGGAAUCCCUCACCAGGGUUGGGGAUCCGCCGCGGAUCCGCAUGCCCGUGGGCAGCCAGCUCUGCUGCGCGAGUACCGUGAGGACACGUGUCACCUGAAGAGCAAGUUGGUACCUGGAAUCUCAAGUCCCAAGCAAGUUAUGCCCUUGAUCACUUCUUUUUACCCAGUCAUGUUCUAAUUAAUCAUAAUGAUCUGCAUAGAUUAAUUUUGAUGGGACCCAAUAGGUUACCUUAGUUUGACUAUCUUUAUACCUUGUUCACCACUGAAUAUUUGGGUAGUACCUGCUAUUGCUCUAUGUAGAUUUGGGUAUAGAGAUAAACAUUUUUCAUGAUUAUACUUUUGUUAUCAGUUGUUAUUUACUGUUCAUGAUAAGAUCAUUAUGUUAAUUGGAACAUGGAGCGACCACCCGGGAAAACAGUGCUACCACAAGGGUAGUAUGGGAUGCCCUUGGCUGAUUAACUAGGAAAGCUAGUGGAGGACUACCUUACCCGAAAGGGGCAAGGGCAGUAGGGGAGUGGUCAGUGUAGGGAGGUCCUUGGGUUGAUUUUCCUGCGAUGGCGGUCAGGCGAGAAAUCCCUGCAUUGGAGCUUCCUAUAAACUGUAGCGGGUUUUCUGAAGCUAGUGGAACUUUGUAAAGGCCCCGUAGUGUUACCCUGCCUCGCUUCCUUGGUAGAGGUGUAUGGGGCCCGUACAACCCCGUGGCAGAUGGGUAACAUGACUUGUGGGUAAAGAUGCGCAGACUCUGCAGAGUGUAAAACUGGUAUAUCAACCGUGCUCACGGUCAUGAGCAGCUCGGACCCUCACAUGAUUAAUUUAUGGAACUAAAUUCAAUUUGUCAUAUGCAUUGCAUCGCAGGUGUUGUUAUUACUUUUGUUCUACUACUUAAUUGGGUUGGUAUUUACUUACACUUAGUAAUUGCUAAUAAAAUUUUGACCCACUUUAAAAGCAAUGCUCAUCUCUAACCAUCCUCUUUGGUAAGCCUUACACUUCACGUGAGCUCCCACCUUUGGCGAGUUCAUGCACAUUAUUCCCCACAACUUGUUGAGCUAUGAACGUAUAUGAGCUCACUCUUGCUGUCUCACACCCCCCAUAGGUCAAGAACAGGUACCGCAGGAUGAGGCAUGGAGGAUGUUGUGAUGAGUUCGUGAGAGGUCUAGGCCGUCGUCUCCCAGUCAACUUUGGGUUGCUAGACCGUUGUCUCCUUAUAAUGUAAUUAAUUAUUUAUUUUGUACAGAACUCCUAUUAUAUAGUGUUGGGGGUCUGCUUCGUCGCCGAAGGUCUCAUAAGAAGAAACACCUUCGGAAGUUGACACGAAGCCGAAGCUAUCAAUCAAAAGGCUUCAGAGCAUAUUUCCAAAUGCACCGACUUAAAGAUGAAAUGACCAACUGACCCAUGAUAAUUUGUAUUAUGAUUGUAAACCUUUGCAAAGGGCAUGAAUGUAAUUCCCCAUGGGCUGCGUCCUGUGCCUAUAAAUAGAUGAACAGUACCCCCAUACUGUUCACGCUAUCCUGUAAUCGCUCGCACGCAACACUUGGAUUUUUGCCUUCUGUCAAGCCGAAGGUAUAAAUGUAAUUAAAUAUCAUAUUUAAUAUCCAAAUUUAUAUAAUGAUAACA